rnacentral:rRNA from 1 species
AUUGAACGCUGGCGGCAUGCCUUACACAUGCAAGUCGAACGGCAGCAUGGGUGCUUGCACCUGAUGGCGAGUGGCGAACGGGUGAGUAAUGCAUCGGAACGUACCCGGAAGUGGGGGAUAACGUAGCGAAAGUUACGCUAAUACCGCAUAUUCUGUGAGCAGGAAAGAGGGGGAUCGCAAGACCUCUCGCUUUCGGAGCGGCCGAUGUCGGAUUAGCUAGUUGGCGGGGUAAAGGCCCACCAAGGCGACGAUCCGUAGCGGGUCUGAGAGGAUGAUCCGCCACACUGGGACUGAGACACGGCCCAGACUCCUACGGGAGGCAGCAGUGGGGAAUUUUGGACAAUGGGCGCAAGCCUGAUCCAGCCAUGCCGCGUGAGUGAAGAAGGCCUUCGGGUUGUAAAGCUCUUUCGGCCGGGAAGAAAUCGCACAGGUUAAUACCCUGUGUGGACGACGGUACCGGAAUAAGAAGCACCGGCUAACUACGUGCCAGCAGCCGCUGUAA